rnacentral:rRNA from 1 species
UACAGGGGGUGCUAGCGUUGUUCGGAAUUACUGGGCGUAAAGGGCGCGUAGGCGGCUUAACAAGUCAGGUGUGAAAUCUCGGGGCUUAACUCCGAAAGUGCAUUUGAAACUGUUAGGCUAGAGUGCAGUAGAGGUUGGUGGAAUUCCCAGUGUAGAGGUGAAAUUCGUAGAUAUUGGGAGGAACACCGGUGGCGAAGGCGGCGACCUGGUCCUUGACUGACGCUGAGGCGCGAAAGCGUGGGGAGCAAACAGG